CUUCCAUGGUUUAGAUCUACGGUAGACUUAUCCUCUUCAUUUCUUCCUCCUUCUCACUCUGAAAUGGAGAAAACCAUACAAACCCCAGCCAGAUGAAUACUCCAGGAGGAUUACUCGAUUCCAACGUACGCCAAUCAAAUCAUAAAAACCAGCUGCAAAGGAGAAAUAUGCUUGUAAAUGAAUGAUAGUCAAAUGAAAAUUAUCAGUAAAAUAAAGAUGAUAUUGAAGAAGAAGAAGAUGUAAGAAGACAAGUACAGAUCGUUUUACUGGACAUAGAACUACAAUUGAAUUUAAUUUAAAUCUGUGUUUACGAAGAAGAUGGUGUGAGAUGUGAUGAAUUUUAAGCUGAAUCUAUAGUUUAAUUGAUAUUGUCAAGAUGCUCCACUUAAAAGACUACUGAUUUUUUGGUUUUUCAGGGGAAGUAUUUAAAUACUUUGAAGUGAUGGUAGUGCAUAUUAUGUGGCUCCUGAAGUAUUUUGACUGCAUUACGGAGCAGAAGCUGAUAUCUGGAGUGUUGAUGUGAUACUGUACAUUCUUCUUAGUGGAGUCCCAGCCACAUGGCAGUGUCACGUCUUGGUUAUGAAUUAUGUAAUAGCAAACUUGAAACCAACACAGGGAUUUCCAGUUUUGGCAGGGAAUCAAAUACUUAGCUUUUUUGUGUUGUUGAAAACGGUGCUCAAGUUGGUGCAAAUAUCUUAUCUUAUCUGGGAAUCUUUUAGACCAAGCAAGAGCACUUGAUGAACUUAUUCCACACUGGAAACAACAACAGUAUUGUUGUUAAAGGAGUUGUUUGCAAGAAGAAUGUUUCCAACCGGCGGGUGACUUCAAAAAUUGAGAAGCCUCGUUUUCUUAUCCUUGGCGGAGCUCUUGAGUAUCAACGGGUGUCUAAUCAUUUAUCAAGUUUUGAUACUCUACUGCAGCAGGAAACAGAUCAUUUGAAGAUGGCAGUAGCAAAGAUAGUUGCUCAUCAUCCCAAUAUCUUACUGGUAGAAAUCAGUUCACGUUUCACUCAAGAAUACCUCUUUGAAAAAAACAUCUCUUGUUCUCAAUAUCAAGAGGCCUUUGUUAGAGCACGUGUGGCACGCUGCACAGGUGCACAAAUAGUUCCUUCAAUUGAUCAUCUUUCCACUCAAAAGCCGGGUUAUUGUGAAGCAUUCCACAUGGAGAAGUUCCUUGAAGCACAUGGGAGCGCUGGGCAGGGAGGAAAGAAUUGGUGAAGACACUUAUGUUUUUUGAAGGGAGCCUCAAGCCAUUUGGUUGUACUGUUCAAUAAAAUGGUCGCUUGCUUUGGAUAUGCAUCGAUGGAUGUUCACUCAGUAUACCUUCCACCCUCAAAACUUGAUUUCAGCUACGAAAAUCCAGAAUGGUUACAGAUAGAGGUCAAUCAGGAGUCUAUACAAAAAUGUACGGAGGAGUCUGCAAGUGGUGCAGAAAAGCUUGUAUCAACAAACUCAAAUUCCAAGCAAAGUGGUAAAGAUUCUCCCUGUGAUAAAAAGUGCAAGCUGGAUGGAAACAGUGAGCAGGUGGAUUCUUCACAGAUCAUAACACCACAGGGUCCAGGCCACAUCUUUUAUCAAGCUUAAGUUCAAAUGCCC